AGCUUUGUGACUUGGCAGUAUCAUAGCCAAUGAGGUUUAUCCGAGGUGUGAUUAUUGCUAAUUGAAAAAAAAAUUAUAUAUAGCCCUAGUCAGUUUUGCUCAGUGGAUAGAGCAUUGGCCC
rnacentral:snRNA from 1 species